rnacentral:lncRNA from 1 species
CGUCAAGUCCUCUUAUUUCACAUGUGUGGGUUGCCACAUGUGUAGAAAAGACCACUAGCACACGCGGGUCCACCACCCAUGUGAGAUAGCACGUGAGGCGUGUGAACAAACAAUCUCGCAUGCCCGGUGCGCGCACGCAAUCCAAGUCUAAGCAGGAGGCCCAUGUGGCUAGCUUGGCCUGCCCACGCGACCCACAGCCCAACCCGUGUGCCCAUCAGUCCACCCGCA